rnacentral:rRNA from 1 species
AGUGGGGGAUAACGUAGCGAAAGUUACGCUAAUACCGCAUAUGCCCUGAGGGGGAAAGGAGGGGAUCGUAAGACCUUUCGCUUUCGGAGUGGCCGAUAUCAGAUUAGCUAGUUGGUGAGGUAAAGGCUCACCAAGGCGACGAUCUGUAGCGGGUCUGAGAGGAUGAUCCGCCACACUGGGACUGAGACACGGCCCAGACUCCUACGGGAGGCAGCAGUGGGGAAUUUUGGACAAUGGGGGCAACCCUGAUCCAGCCAUGCCGCGUGAGUGAAGAAGGCCUUCGGGUUGUAAAGCUCUUUCAGCCGGAAAGAAAUCAUGCUUACUAAUACUAAGUGUGGAUGACGGUACCGGAAGAAGAAGCACCGGCUAACUACGUGCCAGCAGCCGCGGUAAUACGUAGGGUGCGAGCGUUAAUCGGAAUUACUGGGCGUAAAGCGUGCGCAGGCGGUUUUUUAAGACAGACGUGAAAUCCCCGGGCUUAACCUGGGAACUGCGUUUGUGACUGGAAGGCUAGAGUGCGGCAGAGGGGGGUAGAAUUCCA